rnacentral:rRNA from 1 species
GUCUACAUGGGUAUAAUAUUAAAUGUAGUCCAGCCUGCCCACUGAAUAUAAAUUUUAAAGGGCCGCGGUACACUGACCGUGCUAAGGUAGCAUAAUCAAUAGUCUUUUAAUUGGAGACUGGAAUGAACGGCUAGAUAAAAAGUUUACUGUCUAUAUAAUAAAUCUUGAAUUUUACUUUUAAGUGAAAAGGCUUAAAUAUAUUAAAGUGACGAUAAGACCCUAUAAAACUUUAUAAUAAAUUAUGAUUAUCUUAAAUUUAAAAUCAAAAUAUAUUUCAUAUAUUACUAUUUAGUUGGGGCGACUGAGAUAUAAAAAAUCUGUCUUUAGUAAAAAAUACUUAUAAUUAGAUCAAGAUCCUUUAUUAAGGAUUAAAAGGCUAAGUUACUUUAGGGAUAACAGCGUGAUUUUUCUUAAGAGUUCUUAUCGACAGAAUAAGUUGCGACC